rnacentral:rRNA from 1 species
CCUACGGGGGGCAGCAGUGGGGGAUAUUGCACAAUGGGGGAAACCCUGAUGCAGCGACGCCGCGUGGGUGAAGAAGCGCCUCGGCGCGUAAAGCCCUGUCAGCAGGGAAGAAAAUGACGGUACCUGAAGAAGAAGCCCCGGCUAACUACGUGCCAGCAGCCGCGGUAAUACGUAGGGGGCCAACGUUAUCCGGAUUUACUGGGUGUAAAGGGGGCGCAGACGGCGAUGCAAGCCAGGAGUGAAAGCCCGGGGCCCAACCCCGGGACUGCACUUGGAACUGCGUGGCUAGAGUGCAGGAGGGGCGGGCGGAAGUCCUGGGGUAGCGGUGAAAUGCGUAGAUAUCAGGAGGAACACCGGUGGCGAAGGCGGCCUGCUGGACUGCAACUGACGUUGAGGCCCGAAAGCGUGGGGAGCAAACAGGAGUAGAUACCCCGGUAGUC